AAACAAGAAAAGGGAAGGAAGGAAGGAAAGGAGGGAAGAAAAAGAAGGAAAGAAAGAAAGAAAGGAGAAAGAGAAAGAAAGGAAGAAAGAGAGAAAGAAAGGAAGGAAAGAAGGAAGGAAGAAAAGAAGGAAGGAGGGAAGAAAAAGGAUAGAAAGAAAGAAAGAAGGAAAGGAGAAAGAGAAAGGAAGAAAGGAAGAAAGAAAGAGAUAAAGAGAAAGAAAGGAAGGAAAAAGAGAAAAGAAGGAAGGAAGAAAGAAAGAGAUAAAGAGAAAGGAAGGAAUGAAGGAAUGAAGGAGGAAGGAAGGAAGAAGGAAAAGAAGAAAGGAAGGAAGGAGGGAAAGAAGGAAGGAAGGUGGGAAGGAAGGUGGUAAGGAAGGAAGGAAGGAAGGAAGGAAGAAAGGAAGGAAGGAAGAAAGGAAGGAAGGAAGGAAGGAAGGAAGGAAGGAAAGAAGGAAGGAAGGAAAGAAGGAAGGAAGAAAGAAAGAUGCUCAAGGGGCUUCCAUUUUAGUGAGGAUAACCUAAAUAUCUUUGUAUGGUCCUUUUCUUUCCCUUCUUCCUUCCCUUCUCCUUUUCCUUCUCAGCUCUUUUCUGGGCAUAGGGUUGGCAGCUUAGUGGGUGAUUGGUGAUAUAUUCAGGAUUUAUACAGGAUGACACAGCUGUGAGUCCAUUACAGUAUGUCAAGGUCUGUUCAAAUUGUCUUUUGGAUCAUCAGUUUCUCAGUUAAGUAGGAUUGCAGUAAGGACCUUGACUAGUUUGCAGCUCAAGUACUCUUACUCUCAUUUUCAAUAACAGUAAGAUACAUCCAUGAGCACAGAACACUAUGGAUUAUUAGGGCACAAAUUUAUGGAAUCAGAGGAUCACAAAAUGAGAGAAAGAAGAAUCUUUGGGGUCAUCUAAUCCUAUCACCUUAUUUUGCAGUUGAAGAAACUGAAGCCAAGGGAGGUUGACAGCUCUGGAGCUGGAGGAGACCUCAGAAGCUAUUUAGUCAAAAUACCUCAUUUUACAGAUGAGGAAACUGAGGCCUAGAUAAGGAAACAAAAGUAGUGAUGUCAGUUAUGGGAUUUGAACCCACAUCCUCUGGCUUCAAAUUCAUUACUCCCUUCAUUGUAACACUCUGCCUACAGCAUGGCCAUUUGUAUACUUGUUGAAAGGGUGGAAAAAAAGGGCCUAUUUUCUAUAGCCCAAGAUAAUAUGUCUUCCUUCUGAUGUCAUUACUUGGUCCCUCCUUAGGACAUCCUAAGAGAUUCCCCAUUGAACAACAGCCACAUAAGAAAUGAAUUCAGGAUUUCUUCCCAUGAGGUGACUGGUCUUCUGGACUCCAAAUCACUCUGACACAUGGCAAGGUUUCUUCCCCAUGAUGCGGUGGCAAGC
rnacentral:lncRNA from 1 species